rnacentral:antisense_RNA from 1 species
CAAAAUCAUGCCACUGCACUCCAGCCUGGGCAACAGAGAAAGACCCUGUCUCAAACGACAUCAACAAACCAGGAACUCAAUCAUUUCCAACUGUGUGAAGGGCCAAGAGGAAAAUAUUCAGGGUGAGAGAGUCCAUGCAAGUGCUGGCUAAUAGGCUAAAAAUGGAAACACACGACAGACCUUCUAGAAAAGACAUUCCCUGAUAAAAAGCGAUGGUGCCCAUUGAUGCGUCUGCUCUUUGUUCUACCCUUGCCUUCCUGCCUCGAAUGAGAAUAUCAAGAGGCCCCUGGCACGCAGGAACUUGCAGUAUAAAAUACGAAACCUCUUUGGGAACAGGAGGACAAAAACCACAUGCUGUGGGUGGCAGAGCAGAAAGAGAGGAGCCUGGGUCCCUUCUGGCACCAAGUUGAGGCUGCAGCCGCCUGAUCUGUCUCCCUCUGGAAUCUUCCUUAUGACAGAAAAAUAAAUUCCUGUUUGGCUAAACCAC